rnacentral:ribozyme from 11 species
UUUCUUUUUUGUUUUUGUUUUCCAUUUCUUUUCCUUUCCUUUGGUAUUUGAAUGAGUGAGGAAGCAAGGU